rfam:Aotus trivirgatus prion protein gene, partial cds.
CCAGAGCGGUGGCUGGGGGCAGCCUCAUGGUGGUGGCUGG